UGUCCAAUGCGGGAAUCGAACCCGGGUCCUAGUGGUCGAAAACCAAACGGUUUACCAGCCUUCCACCAGUGUUGUUACCAUCAUAGGAC